AACCAUAGAAACCUGCGGAGUACCUGCGGAGGGAUCAUUAUUGGAAAACCAAAACUUACCCAAGUUGCAGGAGGGGAGGAAGUGAGUGGAUGGAAUUUUCUGUCCACUCUCUUUCUCUUCUUCUGCUUCUUCAAACAAACGAUCACAACUAUAUUGAGAGAUUGAAUUGAAUUGAAUUGGAUUGGAUGAUUUGGUGAUGGGGGAAAGAAGGAGACAAGUGCAGCGCAGAUAGACAGAAAU
rnacentral:misc_RNA from 1 species